CCUACGGGAGGCAGCAGUGGGGAAUCUUGGACAAUGGGCGCAAGCCUGAUCCAGCGACGCCGCGUGAGUGAUGAAGGCCUUCGGGUUGUAAAGCUCUGUUGAGAGGGAAGAAAAAAGCUUGUUCAAAUAGGGCAGGCUCUUGACGGUACCUCUUUAGAAAGCACCGGCUAACUCUGUGCCAGCAGCCGCGGUAAGACAGAGGGUGCAAACGUUGCUCGGAAUUACUGGGCGUAAAGCGCGUGUAGGCGGGUUUGUAAGUCAGAUGUGAAAGCCCUGGGCUCAACCCAGGAACUGCAUUUGAAACUGCGAGUCUAGAGUGAUGGAGAGGGAAGCGGAAUUCCUGGUGUAGAGGUGAAAUUCGUAGAUAUCAGGAGGAACACCGGUGGCGAAGGCGGCUUCCUGGACAUUAACUGACGCUGAGACGCGAAAGCGUGGGGAGC
rnacentral:rRNA from 1 species